AACGAACGCUGGCGGCAUGCCUAACACAUGCAAGUCGAACGAGACCUUCGGGUCUAGUGGCGCACGGGUGCGUAACGCGUGGGAACCUGCCCUUGGCUUGGCAUCAACUCCCGGAAGGGGCUCGAAAACCGGAUCAAGUCCUCGGACCAAAGGGUUAUUGCCUUUGGGUGGGGCCGAGUUGGAUUCGGUUGUUGGUAGGGUAAAAGCCUACCAAGGCGACGAUCCAUAGCUGGUCUGAGAGGAGGGACAGCCACACUGGGACUGAGACACGGCCCAGACUCCUACGGGAGGCAGCAGUGGGGAAUAUAGGACAGUGGGCGAAAGCCUGAUCCAGCAAUGCCGCGUGAGUGAUGAAGGCCUUAGGGUUGUAAAGCUCUAUUAACCGGGAUGAUAAUGACAGUACCGGGAGAAUAAGCUCCGGCUAACUCCGUG
rnacentral:rRNA from 1 species